rnacentral:rRNA from 1 species
AACGUAGGAGGCGAGCGUUAUCCGGAUUCACUGGGCGUAAAGCGCAUGUAGGUGGCACGUUAAGUUGCAGGUGAAAGCCCCCGGCUCAACUGGGGGAGGACCUGCGAGACUGGCGGGCUCGAGGGCAGGAGAGGAAAGUGGAAUUCCCGGUGUAGCGGUGGAAUGCGUAGAGAUCGGGAGGAACACUCGUGGCGAAGGCGGCUUUCUGGUCUGCUCCUGACACUGAGAUGCGAAAGCGUGGGUAGCAAACGGG